rnacentral:rRNA from 1 species
AGCCUGAUGCAGCCAUGCCGCGUGUGUGAAGAAGGCCUUCGGGUUGUAAAGCACUUUCAGCGAGGAGGAAGGUGGGUGAGCUUAAUACGUUCAUCAAUUGACGUUACUCGCAGAAGAAGCACCGGCUAACUCCGUGCCAGCAGCCGCGGUAA